AAAUUGAAGAGUUUGAUCAUGGCUCAGAUUGAACGCUGGCGGCAGGCCUAACACAUGCAAGUCGAACGGUAGCACAGAGAGCUUGCUCUUGGGUGACGAGUGGCGGACGGG
rnacentral:rRNA from 1 species